GCGUCGUGGUCGGUGAUUAUGAUUCGAACAAGCUUUCUUUUGGGUUUUCUCUUUGUUUUGGUUGAUGGGUUUUCUUCAAAAAUUGAACUUGGUGUUGAUAGCUUCAGCUUCUGCAAAGACAUGGUAAAGAUAGUGAGUUUUUGUGGGUUUUAAGGUUUAUGUUUGAGGGUUUUUGUGGGUGUUAAGGUUGUUUGAGUGAAGUGAGAGAGUAAAAAGAAAGAGUUUUUGUUUGCAUGAAGGAUUGGAAG
rnacentral:lncRNA from 1 species